AAGCAUGCGUGGUAUCAAGAGGCGCACGGAGGUGCUCCUGCAGCCUCCUCCCAGCAUGGGACUCCUCACAACCCCCGGCCUCAGCCUCCCCAACAGGGCAGGGGCUCACUCUCACCCACUCUGGGCCAGGAACGCAGCUUUUCGUCCAAUUGGGUGCUCUUUCUUUGCGACUGAUACAAAGUGGGGACAAACGCCGCUUCCAGUGAUGCCCGGGCCCCAGGAGGCUGGGGGAGAAGCGCCCGCUGCCCGGCCUUCAACCUGAGCUGCCUCCAACACUUCCCAGCCCAGACCCCUGCAGCUCCAGCUGACACGGAAAAUAGAAAGAGCCUGUGUUGAAACAUUGGGGGGGUUUCCCCGAUAUCUGGCUUGUCUUGAACUCCUGAGCUCAAGUGAUCCUCCCACCUCAGCCUCUCAAAGUACUGGGAUUACAGGCAUGAACCACUGUGUCUGGCACAAGCAAAUAUUAAAACAACGAAAGUACAAUGGAAUAGAGCAACGAGCAUCUCCACGAGCUCGCAGGAGGAUCUCUGUGCCGUCUACACACGCGCCCGGCUUCAGCCAUCACAGGAAAGGAGGGCCUCUGCUUAAUCUUCCAAGUUCUACUGUCUGCUUCUGGCUUCCAAAGUUCCUGUUUGAGAAGACAGCCGUCAUUCUGGGGGUUCCUGUUUGAGAAGACAGUCAUCAUCCUCGGGGUUCCUGUUUGAGAAGACAGUCAUCAUCCUCGGGGUUCCUGUUUGAGAAGACAGCUGUCAUCCUCGGGGUUCCUGUUUGAGGAGACAGCCAUCAUUCUGGGGGUUCCUGUUUGAGGAGACAGCCGUCAUCCUCAGGGUUCCUGUUUGAGGAGACAGCCAUCAUUCUCAUGGUUCCUAUUUGAGGAGACAGCCGUCAUCCUUGGGGUUCCUGUUUGAGGAGACAGCCGUCAUUCUCUUGGUUCCUAUUAGAGGAGACAGCUGUCAUUCUCGUGGUUCCUGUUUGAGGAGACAGCCGUCAUCCUUGGGGUUCCUGUUUAAGGAGACAGCCGUCGUUCUCGGGGUUCCUGUUUGAGGAGACAGCCGUCGUUCUCAGGGUUCCUGUUUGAGGAGACAGCCGUCAUUCUCUUGGUUCCUAUUAGAGGAGACAGCUGUCAUUCUCGUGGUUCCUGUUUGAGGAGACAGCCGUCGUUCUCAGGGUUCCUGUUUGAGAAGACAGCCGUCAUCCUUGGGGUUCCUGUUUGAGGAGACAGCCGUCAUCCCUGGGGUUCCUGUUUAAGGAGACAGCCGUCGUUCUCAGGGUUCCUGUUUAAGGAGACAGCCGUCGUUCUCGGGGUUCCCUAGUGCUAAGGUGUUUUUUUCUCCUGGCUACAUCUAACAGUUUUCUCUUUUCCUUUAGUUUCAGCAGUUUUACUACGAUGUGACUAAGUAUGGCUUUCUUCAGCUUUACACUUCAUGGAGUUCAAUAAGCCUAUUGAAUCUGUGGGUUAAUGCCUCUUAUCAGUUUUGGAAAAUUGGCUACUAUACAUAAAAAUAAUAUUGCUCCU
ensembl:lncRNA